rnacentral:sRNA from 1 species
AGUGCGUGAGUUUCCCUUUGUCUAUAUUAAGUCUAGGCUAGCCAGUUCUUCUCCGCUUCUAUACGCGGGAGCUGAGGGGCAUGCAGACCUUGAAAUCCCGGCACCGCUCCCUCCACCCCGAGCCUCCCUUUUCCAGCCACCGGUUCUCCUGACCCCGAGUGUGGGGGGUGACUUCAGUCUCCUGACAUCCAGUGUUCUCUCGAGCCAGUUUCCAGCCCACCGAAAAUGAGCUCUUCCGGAAGUGGGCAUCUUAUUCCAAUCCCCUCCCUGUGAAUGUGUGGAGAAAAAGAGAUGGGAACGAGGCAGAGGAAAUAGAGAAAUUUUGAAAGAGAAAUGAAGAAUGAGAGACCCAUUAACAGAAGGCAAAGUAGAAGGUUCACAAAUUUUAAGAAAGGGAGAAUAAAGUGAAAAAAUCUCAGAAGGAAUCCACUCAACAGACGAGGAUUCACUUCCAAAGAGACAUAUUAUGCAAGGAAGCAACUCGGAAGAGGAAAGAAAAGAAGUCAGGAAUGG